rnacentral:rRNA from 1 species
GAUGAACGCUGGCGGCGUGCCUAAUACAUGCAAGUCGAGCGAAUUGACAGAGGUGCUUGCACCUCUCGAUUUUAGCGGCGGACGGGUGAGUAACACGUGGGUAACCUACCUAUAAGACUGGGAUAACUUUGGGAAACCGGAGCUAAUACCGGAUAAUAUUUAGCUUCGCAUGAAGCAAUAGUGAAAGACGGUUCUGCUGUCACUUAUAGAUGGACCUGCGGUGUAUUAGCUAGUUGGUGAGGUAACGGCUCAUCAAGGCAACGAUACAUAGCCGACCUGAGAGGGUGAUCGGCCACACUGGGACUGAGACACGGCCCAGACUCCUACGGGAGGCAGCAGUAGGGAAUCUUCCGCAAUGGACGAAAGUCUGACGGAGCAACGCCGCGUGAGUGAAGAAGGUUUUCGGAUCGUAAAACUCUGUUGUAAGGGAAGAACAAGUACGUUAGUAACUGAACGUACCUUGACGGUACCUUACCAGAAAGCCACGGCUAACUACGUGCCAGCAGCCGCCGUAACAC